CGCGCGAAGUCGGGCCGCCGGGCCCUGCGACACGGUGCGCAUGCGUCAGCGUCUCGGUGCGGCGGGUCAAGGGUCAGCCCCAAGAUGGCGGCGGCGGUGACCUUCUGCCGGCUGCUGGGCCGCACCGGCCCGGCGGCGCUGAGCCUGCCCCGGGGCGCCCGGUGCUUUGGGGUGCGCACGUCGCCGACCGGGGAGAAGAUGACGCACACCGGCCAGGUCUACGACGAUGCGGACUACAGGAAGGUCCGGUUCGUGGGUCGCCAGAAAGAGGGACGGGCACUCCCGAGCGGACGCUGGCAGGAGGACCGUCCUGCCCUGAGUGGCUGUGACUGGUCCCGUACAGUGGCGGCAGGAGAGAGGAUGCUGAUGUGUGUCUCCAGGAACCUGAGCUCCUCAUUCCUCUCUGACCUGCGCUGCCGGAACGCAGUCUGCGGGCCGCGCCGCGGUCGGGGCCGGUCGGGGCCGGUCGGGGCCGGUCAGGCCGUCUUCCUCUUCCGAGUCCUUUUGUCCUCUGCAGUCACCUCGGGCCCCUCCUUCCCCCAGUCAGCCUUCUUGUUAGUUCUUGUUAGCUCUGCGCGAGUUGGGUUUCCCGCCUCUCUGAUCUCGGUUACACUGUCUGUUCUUAAGGUCUUUUUCUACUUCGUUUCCUGCCUUGCGGGGGACAGGGUGGUGGAGACAGCGUUCAGUGCCUCGGUGGAGCCAUGGGUCCUGACUCUGUGGCUGGCCCCUGCGGUCCGGCCCCCGGCUCCCCAGCUCAGCAGUUCUGAUGCGUGAGCAACACCUGGUUCUGUCCAGGCUCCUCCCUGCUACAGACUCUGUGGCCUCUGGUUUCUGAUCGCCUUAGCAGGGGGCCACCGGAGCAGCUGAAAACCAAAACCAACCCAACGAAACCAGAAUUCGCAAAGCCAGUGGAGUGUGAACAGAGGAGGCAGAGCUGAAGGUGUCCCCUCACCCAGCAUCAGAGGGUAGUUCGCCCGCCCUGAGAAUGUGUCACGUUCCGCGUCCGGCAACCACGGGUCUUGCUGGCUCUCUAGUUUUGGCUAGUUGUAUUUUAAGAAGCCCACCGAACCCGAGCUUAAUCUGAUGAACGAGGAGCGCGGAAAGCUGGAUAGCUGAGCUGGCCUUUGCAGAGAGAGACAGGAAGUGUCUGUGCGUGGCUCUCGGCUACUCCUGGCCAGAGGCACCUGGUGCAGUUUGCGGCGUGUCUGCAAAGGAAUCCGUGCGGGCCUGUGACGGGGUCUUCCUAAGACGAGACACUCCCGUGCUGAAGAACCGGCUGCAUAGCGCCCACUCCUCGAGGAGGGGCCAGAAGCCAGGCCUGCCAUGGUCCUGGGCCACCUCCGCGAGGCAGGGGGCUGGAACGGAGCAGAGGCUUGUCUGAAGCUACAGAAAGCGUGUCGUUGACUUGGUGCUCAUGUACCUCAGACAAAAGGCACACGUGUUCUGUCCUCCAGCAGAAGAGCUCGUGCGGACAGGAGACCGCGUGCGGAAUGGCGGUGACAGUGACAGCAGUGAGAAAGCAGCAGCGCUGUCUCUGUCACCUUGCGGCUCAGAGGUGUCUGGUCUCGAGUGUGGCUCCAGGCCGCUCUGUCCGACCGCGUCCGGAUCUGUGCAGCCCCCUAAGCGCUGCCUGCCUCCGGCGCUGACCUCACUGGGCUGAGGGUGCUGGGUCCGAGGGGACGAGCCACUAGGGAACCCCCGCCCUGGGAGGCCUUCAGCGAGCGUGUGCCCCAUUCUGUUGCUGCUGGGUUAUUGCGACGGGGCUGGCGUCAUUCGUGCGCAUUAAAGAUGCGCAACGGGGCGGAGAGCCCAGAGCACUGGGAGGCCGAGUCCGUUGAGUAUAGCCCCCCGUGCCCUCCGCUUGCUGCAGUGAUGACGGGGCGGCUCAGCCCAGGCGGGUCGCCCUUGCCGGCUGGGGGGCAGCGGGGACCCUCGCUGCCCAGGUGCUCUGGACAUGUCCUGCCCAUCUCAGACGGCCUCCCGACCCCCCGGCGGGCAGGUGAGUCUGGCUGCGACUCUGACUCAUCCGCUGGGCACCUUGGUUCCUCAGUAGCAGCUGGAAGGUCCCAGCCACCGCGGAGCUGAGGAGCGGUCCCCGUGGCACCUGCUGUGUUGGUGGAGUGACGUGAAGCCUGUCCUCCCCAGAGGGGUCUGGACGUGGUGGCUGUGGACGCACAGCAGGGGCUGGGAGUGCCGGAGUGAAGAGCUCGCGGGUGGGGCGCGUGCGGUGUGGCUGCGGGCCCCACCGGGAGUGACGAGUGUCCCUCAAGGGCUUGUAGCCCUGGGCUUGUUGGGCCUUGCUUCUGGGCGCCGGCAGAGUGGACCGCUCGCGUGGUGAAGUGACUUCUCCGCUGAGGUGGACCAUGCUCCCCGCGCAGACGCUGUAGGAAACUUGCGGGUGUGCUCCAGGAUCGGCGGCGGAGGGAGACCCUGAGCGUAGUCGUCCCGCUAACGGCGGCUGCACACCGACACCUCUGUGAGCUGCCGUCCGGACCGCGGUGAUGCGAAGGUGUGCGUGUGUCUGCACGUCCAGGCGGCUAGAGGAGGCUGCACGAGCCUGCGGGACGCAGCGCUCCCGAGGCUCGGAGGCCGGUGGCCGGGCGCUGAGCCUCCAGGUCUGUGCCUUCCUCUCGCCCUCUGGCGGUUCCACGAUCCGUGCUUGUCCUCGGCCCCUGCCCCGGCCACAUCGCCCAGGGCACCUGCAGAUGCUGCUGUACAAAAAGCCUAGGAGGUGUUUUUGAGCAUUUUCUCCAAAUUUGUGUUAAAAAUUAGCAGGUUGGCAGCGUCCAGCACGGGGUCACUCCGCGAGGCUGUUCCUCCUUGUGCAGUUGUAAGACUGUCCCGUGUGCUCCCGCGUUGUACCUUGUGCUUCUCGUGGGCGUGACCUCAGUCUGACGUAAGGGAGUAAAUUGUCCAUGGGAACGGUCACUCCCCAGGGCACGGGUCAGACGAAGAUAGCCGCCGCCUCCCGGUGAAUUUAAGCCGGUGGGUCUUCGUGCCCAGUCAGUGGGCCGUCAGGAGGUAAAUGAAAAGGUAAUUUCACAUUCGUUACGUCGGUGACGCAUAAAGGACAAUCGUAUGGCCGUUGGACAGUCGAGGGCGUGUGACACCGUCUGCCUGAAACCCACGGUGCUGACGGCUGAGGCAAGAGCCCGGGCCGCUGUGAUGUUCCUCUGCGUUCAUGCGCUUGGAAGGCCCGCGGGUGGCCUCCGGGCCUCGCCUCCGUCGGGGCGGCCAGACCAAGCCCUGAGCUGCCACCUGGGCUCGGCUCUGGGACUCCGCGUGCGCCUGUGGUUGAAUUGAAUCCCGGGAAUGAGACGCUCAUCACGGACGGUCAGGGUCACCCUGGGGCUGAGUGACGGGCAGUCCUGUGUCAGUCUCUGGUGUCAGCUGCCCUUCCUGCGGGAGAUGGCGGUCUGUCUGACGGCCAUGCUGGGGCCCCGGGGUUUGUUCGUGUGGCCUUUGUGACACGUGUGUCACUUAGGUAGACGCCGUCCCGUGUUACAGCACCGGCUUCACGUGUGCGAUGCACGGCUCUGUGCAGCCGAGGGGAGCGGGCCCUCCCGGCCUCCGCAGCCGGCCGACAGGUGCGCGUGUAAGCGGAGCGGCGAGGCCGCGUGUGGGGCCGCUGUGCUCAGAGAGCCUGUGGGAUGGCCCGGCCUCCCCACCUGGCCGCGCUGUGUGCGAGCCCUGGGCUCUGCUGGAGCCCCGUGUCCCCGUAACCUCCUGGUGAGUUUGUAGAAACGAAACUUCACAAAGUCAGAGUCUGUAGUAAUAAUUAAGUUUCUCCAGAAUGUCCGCAGUCUGUGGGUUUGGGACAUUAUCUGAGUCAAUGGCAGGCGAGGCCGUCUGUUCCCGUGCACGAGUGAGGGGCUGGGCCCUGCGGGAUCGCGUGUCCUCUGCACGGAGUCCGCUGGCUUUAGAGAGGCUGUUCACGGAGGCUGAUCGUGCCUUUCUAACUCAUUUCCAGGCCUCAUUAGAGUUCAGAGGUCCCAGCCCCCUUCAUUCGUGAACACUGAUCCUCGUCUCCCUGUCUCCGCUGCGGUGGGGCCUCUCCCUGUCCGUGAGGCUCUGGGGACGCGGGGCAGGUGCCCCGCUGGGCCCCGGCAGCCGCGACCGACUGGCAUGGCUCUGCCGUCAGGCACCCCUGGUACCGAGGUUGGUACUCACGGCGCGGCUGGUGGGCGAGCCCACUUACUGUGUGUGGCCUCCGUUUCCUGUCCUGUCUGCACGCAGUGUCACCCCCGUGGUGGCCGCGGGGAUGUCUGCCAGGAAGAGUAGUGGCCCUGGGAGCAUUCGUCCCGUGGCGUGUGCUGCGCGCAGACGAGCCUCCGGCUUCAGAGGCGGGUGACGUCCCAGAUGUGGUCUCGCGGUUGUUUUCCGCCCUGGGUGGGUUGACGGUGGCGCGGGGUCUAGAGGAACCACCAGCUGCCGCUGCCUGGGAGCCCGAGCGUGGGACACCGAGCCCUGCAGACGGCCGAGAGUGUGGUGGGGGCUUGAGGGUUGCCGUAGACGGCUUUGGGGAGCACACGCCGUUGGAGGGGGGACGUGCCUCUGGACGGCUCUCCGGGGUGAGAAUCUGCAGCCCCUGGCAUGGGCCGGCCCCCGGGGUGAGACGCGGGAGUCGGCUCCGUAACAGGCUGGGGGCACGUUGGGGACCUUUACACACACACACACGCGCGCGCUCUCUCUCUCUCUCUCUCUCUCUCGGAUGCUUUCCCUUCCCAGCCUUGGGAGCUUUGUCUCCUGGGUGAUGGCCAGGGAGGCUGUGCGCGCCUGGCUCAGGGCGGGUCAGGUCCGAGCCCGGUGGGUCUCCUGGCCUGGGUCCCCUUGGCCACAGUAGCUCGCUGUGAGACAUGCUACUUGCCCAGCCAGGUGUGCGAAUUUCUGUUUAACGAAACAGAUGUGGGGGGAUAGUGUCACGGUCCCUUGUCCCGUGAGCCCGGUCUGGCGCAGCCGUUACCAACCAGGAGGCUUCCCGAGGCGGCGGCGCUGCUCUCUGUGCUGAUGGCCCACAGCCCGCUCCCCACCAGGGCUGCCGUUCCGCAAGCAGGUCGCCGACUCGGUCCCCGUGAACCGAGUCCGCGGUGCCUGCAGCCCCCACGAGGCACUGACUGGACCGCAGACUACCGCGAUCUCUAAGUUAAAUAGCGGAGCGGAGGUGGAGUCCUGAUUGUGUCGGAGUAAGAAGAAUCUUGUGACUGAGGACACAGAUAAGCCCCAGGCAGUGCACCUGCUGACGAGUCUAAGUGUCUUUUAACUCUUAGGUGUCGUCCCCCGCCCCCCUCCCGAGGCUCCCUUUACCUGCUCGGAAGUCGCCUGUCUGUGGACCCGGGUCUCUCUCUCCGCUGCGUCGCCGGCGGCUGGGUCUCCCGGCUGCUGUACGUUGUGGGGUUCGGUGCCCGUGUUCUCAGGGUGUGGAACCCGGGUUGGCUGUGGCAGCUGCAUCAG